AAAGAUUUUUCCAACAAUUUUCUCAAGUUGGUUGAUUGUAAUCUCCCUUGGAACAUAUGCUUCAUUUAAUACCUUCAGUAAAACAUCACGAUGCUCCUUGGAGUGCAACAGCAAAGAUAAAACGGAAAUUUGAGCAGGGGUUUUCUUCAACUGGUCUAAUAUUGAAUACUCUGGCAAUUUCAUCUUUUUCAAAAAUUCUUCGGCUUCUUCUUCGGUGAUAGGCUUUUUGAUAGAUGACGGUCCACUCACCGUUGGCUUGGACUUUCUUAAGCUUUCAGGCACGAAGCAUCUUCCUGACCUAGUCAAACCCCCUACCUCAUCU
rnacentral:lncRNA from 1 species